rnacentral:rRNA from 1 species
ACUCCUACGGGAGGCAGCAGUAGGGAAUCUUCCACAAUGGACGAAAGUCUGAUGGAGCAACGCCGCGUGAGUGAAGAAGGGUUUCGGCUCGUAAAACUCUGUUGUUAAAGAAGAACAUAUCUGAGAGUAACUGUUCAGGUAUUGACGGUAUUUAACCAGAAAGCCACGGCUAACUACGUGCCAGCAGCCGCGGUAAUACGUAGGUGGCAAGCGUUGUCCGGAUUUAUUGGGGCGUAAAGCGAGCGCAGGCGGUUUUUAAGUCUGAUGUGAAAGCCUUCGGCUCAACCGAAGAAGUGCAUCGGAAACUGGGAAACUUGAGUGCAGAAGAGGACAGUGGAACUCCAUGUGUAGCGGUGAAAUGCGUAGAUAUAUGGAAGAACACCAGUGGCGAAGGCGGCUGUCUGGUCUGUAACUGACGCUGAGGCUCGAAAGUAUGGGUAGCAAACAGGAUUAGAUAACCUGGUAGGAUAGCG